UCUCUAGGGCUAGCUCUCAAUCCACUGAGCCACCCAGCUGCCCCCUAGAUUAUACUAUAUUCUGUUCAAUGUAGCAUACAUUAUACUACAUAUAUUAUAGUAUAGUAUGUAGUAUAUAUUAUGUACUAUGCUGCAUGUUUUGUAACAAUGUUAUAUAAUUUAUCAUAGUAUUAUAUACUCAUUUAAUUCAUAUAUUGACAGUAACAUCAUACUAUAUGUUAUAUAUACUAUGUAUAACUAGGGGCAGUUAGGUGGCACCGUGGAUAUAGUACCAGACCUAAAGCCAAGAAGAUUCAUCUUCCUGAGUUCAAACGUGGACUUAGAUACUUACUAGCUGUGUGACCUUGGGCAAGCCCCAUAACCUGAUUUGCCUGAGUUUCCUCAUCUAUAAAAAUAAACUGGAGAAGGAAUAGCAAACCACUUCAGUAUCUUUCCUAAGAAAACUCCAAGUGGAGUCAGGAAGUCAGACAUAACUGACAAAACUGAAUAAUAACACAUAAAACUAUUAAAGUGAAUAUGAAUAACAAAUACCAAGCGACCAACAAGUGAACCUUCAACAAAAACUCCAACUAGAAAUCAUUUACAUCUUAAUCAAAUAGGGAAAAUAUUCAUACCCUAAAUUUUGCAAUGUAAAAUUAAACUAAGGGCAGUAUAGUUUUCUUGAUAACAUUGCUAACAUUUCUGUUGAUAAAUUUUGGUUUGACAUAUACAAAAUUCCACCAUUUUCAUAAUUAAAUCCUCUACAGUGUCUCAUCCUCAUAAAACAAACAAAACGUCACAAAAGAAUGAAUGUGACAUGCAAUUCUAUGCUUUGGUGGUUUGUCGUUUAUUAAGAGAAAAGCCGAUGUGUUCUUUUAAAGUUAAUAUCAAAGUUGUCAAUGUCUUUGAUCUAAGUCUUCUUACCAUUUAAAGUUGUCUUCAUUUCUGUAAUGUCCUUUUCUACCACAUUGAGAAGACAUUCUGUUGGGCAAAGGGGGUCAUAUCUUUAAAAAAAAAACAAAAACCUUAUCUUCUGUCUUAGAAUCAAUACUGUGUUCUAAGGCAGGAUAUCAGAAAGGGCUAGGCAAUGGGGAGGGGGGGUUAAGUGACUUGUUCAGUUAGAAAGUUUCUGAGUCCAGCUUUGAACCCAUGACCUCCAGUCUCUAGGCUAUGUGCUAAGCUACCUAGCUGCUCCCAAGAGGUUAUGUCUUAAAGGGACAACAUCAAUUUUCUCCUAUCUCUGGAAGAUACUGGGAUGCUAAUUUUUACUAGGACUUAGUGUUGGGGGGUAGACAGGCAGUGUUUGAUUCAAGGAAAGAACUGGAGACACUUGAAGAAACGUUUGCUGCUAUGCAGCCUCUGCUAUAAUCACAAUGAAGGUGCCUAAACCAGAAGGAAGUUCAACUGGCACAUAUGAAAGACAAACUGUAGCCAGAUUGCCAAGAAGGAAGGUGUCAUUGCAUUAUGUCUCUCCCUUUUUACAUUCUCUCUUUCUCCCCUCUACAGGAGAAUAAAUUUCUAUUCCAAUGUUCUUUCUCUCUUGAGAAUUCUCGAGAAUUGUCAUUCUCGGUCACCGAGAGACUACCACUAAUACUGGCUAAGCACUAUCCAUUUGAGCAUCUCUUGCAAGAACAGCAUUGAAUGAGCUUCCAGCUUCAAGAGAUAAGAUGGAAUAAACCAACUGUUCACUUCAGGUUGCUGAAGGAAAAGAUUCUGGGAAGAAAUAAGAAGAGCCAGCAGGCCCUAUCAAGUCAUUAUUCUCAGCUUGCUGCACUAGAGAUUUGGGGACAUUUCCCCUUAGAGAAACUAAGAGUUGGAGUCAAGAUGGUAGAGAUAACUGAGCAUUUCUGCUGGGCUCUCCCAGUCCAAACUUCCAAACACCUUUUUAAAGUAUGCCUCAAAAAAAUUCUGAGUGGGAGAAAACAAUGAAAAAGUCACAGAAUCUCAUUAUUCCAUCCAGGACAACAUAGGAAGACUGGAAGAGAGGUCUGCCAGUGGACACUGGGAUAGGGGCUGGCUGGGAUCAUGUAUGGAGAAGGCAGCACUGGUUGUGGUAGCAGCAGUGCUGGCAGUGAUAGCUCCAAGAGUGUUGAACACCUAAGGGUGGUAAGGAGAGUGAACACCUGGGCAGGAAUUUAUUAUAGACAACGCCUAUUAUAAUACUGGGCAUAGGACCAAGAACUAUUUGGCAGUUUCUUUACCUAUUACCCAGUUCUUGGUUGCAAGUCCAAGGUGAAAAGGAGAACUUAUGGUCUGUAGUCAUGAGGGAGUAGAGGCCCAGAGUGUAGACAAGGAAGAUAGUGAUCAGAACUCUCUUUAGACCUCCCCAUCUAGGAAGCACUGAAAAUCUGUGACUUAGAAGCUUUGACUAGCUAUCCCCUUCUAUUCCCCCUAUGCCCUCCAGAGGUCAGUAGAGUCCAACUCUGACAUGAAGUUCAAAAUCAAAAAAGUCUAGAAAAAUUUAAAAAGGGGGAAAAUCUGAUGAUAAAAACCUUCUGUGGAAAUAGGGAAACUCAAGUCAAACUCAAAAGAAGAAAAUAUCUAUUAGCAAAGUCUCAAAGGAAAAAAAUGUGGAAUGGACACAAGCCCAACAAGGAUACUUAGAGGAGCUAAAGAGGUUUUUUAAAAAAGAACUAAGAAUAAUUUUUAAAAUCAAAUAAGGGCAGUGGAGGAAAAUUUGAGAAAAAUGAAAACACAAGAAAAUUAUGAAAAAAGAAUGAAUAAUUUGGUAAAAGAUGUAUAAAACCUUAUGAAAGAAAAGAAUAUUCAAAAUUACAAUUGGUCGAAUGGAAGCUAAUGACUCCAUGAAAUAUCAAGAAAAAAUAAAAUAACACCAAAAUAGAAAAAUGGAAGAAAAUGUUAUAUAUGUCAUUAGAAAAAAUA